CGGUGGAGCAUGUGGUUUAAUUCGACGCAACGCGAAGAACCCUACCUGGGUUAAAUCAAAGGUGCAAGGCUGAGAGAUCGCCCUAUCGCUUGAAGGUGUGACGAGCGCAACCCUUACCACUAGUUGCCAGCGGGAUGUCAAGUAUCAUGGCCUCUAUGUCCAGGCUACAUACAUGGCCGGUACAACCGUUGCAAACUCGCGAGAGGGAGCCUCGGAAAAAGCCGGUCUCAGUUCGGAUUGGAGUGCAACUCGACUCCAUGAAGUUGGAAUCGCUAGUAAUCGAAAUCAGCACGCUGCGGUGAAUACGUUCCCGGGUCUUGUACACACCGCCGUCACAUCACGAAAGUGGGCUGUACUAAAAGUGGCCGCGCUAACCGCAAGGGGGCAGGUUACACGUAUGGUUCAUGAUUGGGGUGAAGUCGUACAAGGU
rnacentral:rRNA from 1 species